GCCCAGUGAUGAGACCAAGGCGAAUACGAGCUUACUGAAUGAGAAUUGGGUUCUUCUUUACCGAUACUGGCAGGUAAUCUUGGCAGUGCAGAGGAGAAUUCCUGCUCUGCUGUAAGGGCCUGCCUACAGUGUUUUGGCUCACCCCCAAAGUAUUCCUUUAAAGCUACAGUGGAGUAAUCGGGGAUGAAGCUGACAGUGUGUGUGUUUCUGUGUAUGGUUGUGUGUGCAUUUGUGUACGUGUGUAAGAGGCAAUGAAGUUCACCCAAUUAUCUUUGCGGUUCAGUCAGCCAUGAGUUGCUUCUUUGGUAAUCUGAGGGUG